GAGUUAAGGGUGGGAGUUAAAAUCUCCUUUCUUUG
rnacentral:tRNA from 1 species